rnacentral:rRNA from 1 species
CCUACGGGAGGCAGCAGUAAGGAAUAUUGGUCAAUGGACGCAAGUCUGAACCAGCCAUGCCGCGUGAAGGAUUAAGGUCCUCUGGAUUGUAAACUUCUUUUAUCUGGGACGAAAAAAGGCGAUUCUUCGUCACUUGACGGUACCAGAUGAAUAAGCACCGGCUAACUCCGUGCCAGCAGCCGCGGUAAUACGGAGGGUGCAAGCGUUAUCCGGAUUCACUGGGUUUAAAGGGUGCGUAGGCGGGCAGGUAAGUCAGUGGUGAAAUCCUAGAGCUUAACUCUAGAACUGCCAUUGAUACUAUCUGUCUUGAAUAUUGUGGAGGUAAGCGGAAUAUGUCAUGUAGCGGUGAAAUGCUUAGAUAUGACAUAGAACACCUAUUGCGAAGGCAGCUUACUACGCAUAUAUUGACGCUGAGGCACGAAAGCGUGGGGAUCAAACAGGAUUAGAUACCCUGGUAGUCCACGCCCUAAACGAUGAUUACUCGACAUUUGUGAUACACUAUAAGUGUNUGAGNGAAGANAUAAGUAAUACACCGNGGAGACGACCGACGAGUUAGUAAACGUUAAAGUAAAGUUAGACGGCGUGAGACGUUAGCCGACGGACGACGACGAGGGGAGGUAGG